GACGAACGCUGGCGGCGUGCCUAAUACAUGCAAGUAGAACGCUGAAGAGAGGAGCUUGCUCUUCUUGGAUGAGUUGCGAACGGGUGAGUAACGCGUAGGUAACCUGCCUUGUAGCGGGGGAUAACUAUUGGAAACGAUAGCUAAUACCGCAUAACAAUGGAUGACACAUGUCAUUUAUUUGAAAGGGGCAAUUUCUCCACUACAAGAUGGACCUGCGUUGUAUUAGCUAGUAGGUGAGGUAAUGGCUCACCUAGGCGACGAUACAUAGCCGACCUGAGAGGGUGAUCGGCCACACUGGGACUGAGACACGGCACAGACUCAUACGGGAGGCAGCAGUAGGGAAUCUUCGGCAAUGGGGGCAAACCUGACCGAGCAACGCCGCGUGAGUGAAGAAGGUUGUCGGAUCGUAAAGCUCUGUUGUAAGUCAAGAACGGGUGUGAGAGUGGAAAGUUCACACUGUGACGGUAGCUUACCAGAAAGGGACGGCUAACUACGUG
rnacentral:rRNA from 1 species